AUUGAUGGACUCUUACAUGAAACAGUCCAUAGAUCCAGCUGAGGCUCUUGUUCUUCCUGAAUUGAAAUCCACCAAACGGACCUCAUUCCAAGGCAAACAGGAGUGGCGACCCUCUCUGAUAUUCUCCAGCUCACCCGGACGACUCCACUGACACGAACAGCUCAGCCCUGCAGAAAUAGUGAAGUAUGUUGCAGAGGGUUGGACUAGAUGGCCCUUGGAGCCCCUUCCGAUUCUAUGAUUCUAUGAAAUUACAUCAUUGCCACAGGAUUUGACUCCUCCCACUGCAAGCCUGGGAGACAACAGGGGAGCAUCAAAGACUUGAAGGGCAUGCAAAAAAAGAGUCUUGAACCUAUGCCAAGCAAUUUGUUCUGGCUUUAAUCAAGAUGUCGUCUUUUAACUCCAAAUGUCAUUCUUAUUAUUAUUUUUAAUCCCGUAUCAAAACUUUGAGCAGCAUACUGCAACAUGAAUAAAUGCUACCCGUCAUUUAAACUUUCAGCAAUGUUUCAAAGCCUUGCAAAUGAGUGAUAGCCAUUUAUAUAUGUAUUCAUGCAUGUGUAUAUUCAUCAAAGUGAUGCAGUUAACAAGCUGGUAAAAGACAAAGUGAAUAGCAACAAAGAAACUGGUGGAUUAUAAGUUUUUAACUUUGUAAAAGCUAAUGCAGAACAACUUGAUUGUUAAUUUUGUAGUUUUGUUUUUUU